GAUGAAGAACGUAGCGAAAUGCGAUACGUAAUGUGAAUUGCAGAAUUCAGUGAAUCAUCGAAUCUUUGAACGCAUAUUGCGCUCUUUGGUAUUCCGAAGAGCAUGCUUGUUUGAGUAUCAGUAAACACCUCAACCUCUUCUUGAUUUUUCAAAAGGAGGGUGGACUUGAGCUAUCCCAACAACCUUUACCGGUCGGCGGGCGGCUUGAAAUGCAGGUGCAGCUGGACUUUUAUCUGAGCUAAAAGCAUAUCUAUUUAGUCCUCGUCAAACAGGAUUAUUACUUUUGCUGCAGCUAACAUAAAGGAUAAUUGUCCUCUUUGCUGACUGAUGCAGGAGUUUACGACACUUUAUGUGUUGUUCAACUCGAUCUCAAAUCAAGUAAGACUACCCGCUGAACUUAAGCAUAUCAAUAAGCGGAGGA
rnacentral:misc_RNA from 1 species